rnacentral:rRNA from 1 species
CAGCCGCCGCGGUAAUACGAAGGGUGCAAGCGUUAAUCGGAAUUACUUGGCGUAAAGCGUGCGUAGGCGGUUUGUUAAGUCUGCUGUGAAAUCCCCGGGCUCAACCUGGGAAUGGCAGUGGAUACUGGCAAGCUAGAGUGUGUCAGAGGAUGGUGGAAUUCCCGGUGUAGCGGUGAAAUGCGUAGAGAUCGGGAGGAACAUCAGUGGCGAAGGCGGCCAUCUGGGACAACACUGACGCUGAGGCACGAAAGCGUGUGGAGCAAACAGGAUUAGAUACCCCUGUAGUCCCUGUCUCUUAUAC